UUCUGCUUAUAAAAAAAUGAAGGUUAAUUUAAUAAUCUUAUAAAAUCUGAUUUAUUUUAAAAUUAAAUUAUUUAUUAAGUUUAAAGUAUUAAAUUGAACAGCCUAUAAUUGCUAUUUAUUCGACAAAUAAGUAAAUCAUAAAAAAAUAAAUUGUGAAGUUGAGAAAUCAGUUGUCCGUAAUAAUUUUUUGUUCUAAUCUUAUGGAUUUACUAUAAAACGAAAUGUCUCGCAGAAAACCUAGUUUUCUUACCAAUGAUUUGUUUCCGAGAGAAAUCGAUAUCGAAGUAUGUUUGAAAACAUUAAAAAUAUAUCAAAAAAUUGAAGGUGAUGUAAACUGUGUUGUAUGGGAUGCUUCUCUAGUAUUGGCAAAAUAUCUUGAAACUAUGUGUCACCAGAAAUCAGAUUUUCUAAGCGGUAUAAAAGUUUUGGAGCUGGGAGCUGGGCUAGGGGUUGUGGGCCUUGCAGCUGCUACUUUAGGAGCCCAAGUAACACUUACAGACUUACCUGAGGCAAUGACUUUGCUUCGUUUAAAUAUAAAUGAAAACAAGGCAAAAAUCUCCAGUAUGGGAGGAUAUGCCACGGCAGAAUCUCUUGUUUGGGGCGAAGGCAGUUCAGAGAUAUAUAAAGAUGAAUGGGACAUGAUUGUAUUAGCUGAUUGCGUGUACUAUGAAGAGAUGACAAGACAUUCUAUGGACUGGUUGCCUUGCCUAGAAACAUGUCUAAUGAAAUCAAGAAUGCAGGACUGUAUUAAGGCGGAUAGACACUUAAAGAAAUAUAUACAUAUUAUAAAAUAAACUCACCUGUAUUAAUAUGAUAAACUCAAAUACUAUCCAAUGGAUUUUGAUGAAAUUUGGUAUAGAGGUAGUUUGAGAACCUGGGGAGGACAUAAGCUACUUCUAUCCUGGAAAAUUAUACUCUAUGUAGAUCCAAUAUAAAAAUUCCUUUAAGCUCAUUUAAAGUUGGUAUGAUAUCACUUAUUUAAGCUGAAAUUAAACUUGGAAAGUUUUGUUUUUAAACAUUGUGACAGAUUUUUCUAAUUGAAAUUAUAUAUGUAAUUAUUUAAAUAAUUUUAUAAAUAAUAAGUUUACCCUCAUAAUCGAAAUCACGACGAGAACCGCAAGGGACAGGGAAUAAUGCUAAAUGCUGGAGGCCUUCUGACAAAAGAACUAACUUUAAAGAGGACUGCUGUGGAAGACAGCUAAAGCUAUUGACCCAUUGAUAGAAACACUGCAAAAUUUAAAUUCUUCAACUAAUAAGAGGAUGGUCAUAUAUUUGACUCAAGAACUCCGAGAUUCAGAAGUACAGAAGCAAUUAUGGGACAAAUUUUAUACAAAAUUGACUAAUAUUUUUAAUGUAAUAAAAAUACCAGAAGAGGAACAACAUGCCAAUUAUCGAAGUGAAGAUAUCAUAUUA
rnacentral:misc_RNA from 1 species